rnacentral:misc_RNA from 1 species
CUUUGAGGAAUGGAUAGAGAUGGAUGAUCACCCAGAAGGCAAAGAAAAGCUUGCCAAAGAGAGGACCCCAUGACUGAUAACCGCUGUUGAUGGCGUAGGAUAUACCAGCAACGACACCCACCAAGUUAAUGAUAAGGAGAGUCGUUGGUGGGAUUAGAAGAGUUGUCCAUUUGAACAUGUAAAGUUCAGCAAAGUCUCCAUCUUCGUCUGAUGCCUUGGAGGUGACAGUGAAGUUUGUGUCAAUGCCAGCAAGUACCUUAAGAAGUCCUUGGACAACAGCAAAAAGAUGGGAUGAAACUCCUCCAAUAACCCAAAACUGUUCGUUUCUCCACCAUUCGUCGAUUCCAACGCCACUCCAUCUCAUCUCCAAAAUGCCAGUUGCAAAGAUUGAAAGAAAGAGAGAGAUAAACCAGAUACUUGCAAGAUUACUAAUCUGUGGAAUAAUGAACUUGUUCGUAAGUAGACAAACAGCUGGAAGUGUGCAGUACACGAGAAGAGGAAUGGCUGUGACUGGAUAAAUGGUGGUGUUUACAUAUGCAAACCUCUCGAGCCAUUUUAAUCUACCACCAUAACCAUACCAAAUUGGACAAUGACGACUAAGAAGAAUUUCCACAGAACCUAAAGCCCAUCGAAGCACUUGGUUCAAACGAUCUGAAAGAUUAAUUGGAGCAGACCCUUUAAAGGCUGGAAGCUUCGGCAUGCAGUAAAUUGAUCGCCAACCACGUGCAUGCAUCUUAAAUCCAGUGAGAAUAUCUUCUGUAACAGAACCAUAAAUCCAUCCAAUCUCACUUCCCCAAUCUGUUUUAUCCUCAUACCCACAGCUGAUAACAUGAAUAGCCUCUUUAAGAAGAUUCUCUGGUGUUGCAGACUGAGGAACACCACCAUUCUCCAUAAGUGUGGAAGCAACAAAAACAGCAGACUGGCCAAACCUUUUUUCCAGGCUCAUUUGUGACAUUAGGAGUGACUUCUCGUCAUCAAAUCCAGCACCUUCAACUCCCUCUUCUAUAUCUUCCAGACUGAAAAUUGGCACAGUAGGAUCUACAUGCUUUCCAGAUUUCUUUUUGUCUGAGCCCUUUUUCCUUGAUUUUGAACUCUUAUUUCGUGAUCCACCACAAAGAGAAGAUAGUAACCCUGGUUUCUUAUGCUUGGGUUUGAGAGGAGGUUCAUAACCAUACAAGGCUGUUCUAUUGAAGACACAUCCAGUACCCACGUAAACAGGGCCUUGAAUACCAUCCAAACCUCUCAAGUUUAUAUCAAAGAAAACAGUAUUACGGUUGGCAUAUCGAUCGUUCCUAUCAAUACCAUCAAAUCUCUGGGGGAACUGAACAUAACAGACCUGUUUCCCAAGGUUGGGAUCCAUCAGGAAACACAUAGCUUCUCUCAAAGCCUUGCUGUUGUUUACAUAGUGAUCACAAUCAAGAUUCAACAGGAAAGGUCCAUUAGUAAGGACAGCUGAUACUCUGACAAGUGCAUUCAUUGCACCAGCCUUCUUGUGGUGUUGGAACCCUGGACGCUUUUCACGUGAAACAUAAACUAGCCGUGGCAGCUCAUUACCCUCAGCAUCAAGGCCUCCAUUUUGGCCCAGGAAA